GAUGAACGCUGGCGGCGUGCCUAAUACAUGCAAGUCGAGCGAACAGACGAGGAUCUUGCUCCUCUGACGUUAGCGGCGGACGUGUGAGUAACACGUGGAUAACCUACCUAUAAGACUGGGAUAACUUCGGGAAACCGGAGCUAAUACCGGAUAAUAUAUUGAACCUCAUGGUUCAUUAGUUAAAUACGGUUUUUCUUUCUCUUUUAUAUGUUUCCUCGCCGCAUUAGCUAGUUGGUAAGUUAACGGCUUACCAAGGCAACGAUGCGUAGCCGACCUGAGAGGGGGAUCGGCCACACUGGAACUGAGACACGGACAAGACUCCUACGGGAGGCAGCAGUAGGGAAGAUUAGGAAAUGGGCGAAAGCAUGACGGAGCAAAGCCGCGUGAGAGAUGAAGGUCUUCGGAUCGUAAAACUCUGUUAUUAGGGAAGAACAAAUGUGUAAGAAACUAUGCACGUAUUGACGGUAACUAAUCAGAAAGCAACGGCUAACUACGUG
rnacentral:rRNA from 1 species